AUUUCACACAUCCGCAAGACAGCGUGCAGAAUCUCUGUGACUGUUUCCCUCUGAUAGAGGAGUUUUUGAAAAUGAAACAAAGGAGUGGUGACUAAUCAGCAGUAUCCUCACAGGGAGGAAGGGGCUUCGGAAUCAAGUCCAAAACUAAAGACAGAACAGCAGACCCAAGCAACACACCAGAUCUGACAGUGUGAACAAAGGCAUAGUGUUUAGAAAAGCUGGAGACCCUACUCCUGGAAGAGAGAGAGAGAGAGCAGUCUGAGUGGAAGUUAGUACUGCUUCAACAGAUCGGCCCUUGAGUAGCCAGUUGUCGAGAUAUGGGAAGACUAAAAUUGCUUUGUGUUGAAGGUGAGCAGCCACUACCACUAAAACCUUCGAGAACACCAUUGGGGCUGAAAGGAAGUACUCGGUAUUGAAAAUAGUCCUGGCCCAUGGCAAAGCACAGGUCUCUCCUGUGUGGGGGGGAUGUAUCGCUAUAUGGAAACAGAUGUCUUGUAGGUUGAGGGCUGAAAACCAAUCUCCUACCUCUAGAGUAAGGAUUACAGCUACCAGAGUAAACAUCCAGAACUUUUGAGCUAUGUUCAGUUGUGUUAGCUCUAAGAUUGCUCUCCACCCUCCACCCUUCUUUGGCAUGUGAAAAUACUUUGCAUAA